UACGUAGGGUGCGAGCGUUAAUCGGAAUUACUGGGCGUAAAGCGUGCGCAGGCGGUUUUGUAAGCCAGGUGUGAAAUCCCCGGGCUCAACCUGGGAAUGGCAUUUGGGACUGCAAGGCUGGAGUGCGGCAGAGGAGACUGGAAUUCCUGGUGUAGCAGUGAAAUGCGUAGAUAUCAGGAGGAACACCGGCGGCGAAGGCGGGUCUCUGGGCCGAUAUUGACGCUGAGGAGCGAAAGCGUGGGGAGCGAACAGG
rnacentral:rRNA from 1 species